UACGAAGGGGGCUAGCGUUGCUCGGAAUCACUGGGCGUAAAGCGCACGUAGGCGGAUCUUUAAGUCAGGGGGUGAAAUCCCCGGAGCUCAACUCCGGAACUGCCCUUUGAUACUGAGGGUCUUGAGUCCGGGAGAGGUGAGUGGAACUGCGAGUGUAGAGGUGAAAUUCGUAGAUAUUCGCAAGAACACCAGUGGCGAAGGCGGCUCACUGGCCCGGUACUGACGCUGAGGUGCGAAAGCGUGGGGAGCAACAGGAUAAGAUACCC
rnacentral:rRNA from 1 species